AUUGAACGCUGGCGGCAUGCCUUACACAUGCAAGUCGAACGGCAGCACGGGAGCAAUCCUGGUGGCGAGUGGCGAACGGGUGAGUAAUAUAUCGGAACGUGCCCAGUCGUGGGGAUAACGUAGCGAAAGCUACGCUAAUACCGCAUACGAUCUACGGAUGAAAGCGGGGGAUCGCAAGACCUCGCGCGAUUGGAGCGGCCGAUAUCAGAUUAGGUAGUUGGUGAGGUAAAGGCUCACCAAGCCGACGAUCUGUAGCUGGUCUGAGAGGACGACCAGCCACACUGGGACAGAGACACGGCCCAGACUCCUACGGGAGGCAGCAGUGGGGAAUUUUGGGACAAUGGGCGCAAGCCUGAUCCAGCAAUGCCGCGUGCAGGAUGAAGGCCUU
rnacentral:rRNA from 1 species